GACGAACGCUGGCGGCGUGCCUAAUACAUGCAAGUAGAACGCACAGUUUAUACCGUAGCUUGCUACACCAUAGACUGUGAGUUGCGAACGGGUGAGUAACGCGUAGGUAACCUGCCUGGUAGCGGGGGAUAACUAUUGGAAACGAUAGCUAAUACCGCAUAAUAUUGAUUAUUGCAUGAUAAUUGAUUGAAAGAUGCUAUUGCAUCACUACCAGAUGGACCUGCGUUGUAUUAGCUAGUAGGUGAGGUAACGGCUCACCUAGGCGACGAUACAUAGCCGACCUGAGAGGGUGAUCGGCCACACUGGGACUGGGACACGGCCCAGACUCCUACGGGGGGCAGCAGUAGGGAAUCUUCGGCAAUGGACGAAAGUCUGACCGAGCAACGCCGCGUGAGUGAAGAAGGUUUUCGGAUCGUAAAGCUCUGUUGUAAGGGAAGAACGGGUGUGAGAGUGGAAAGUUCACACUGUGACGGUAUCUUAACAGAAAGGGACGGCUAACUACGUG
rnacentral:rRNA from 1 species